rnacentral:piRNA from 1 species
UAGAAAAUGUCGACUGGGCUAUGC